UAGGUGCUUGCACCUGAUGCGAGUGGCGAACGGGUGAGUAAUGCAUCGGAACGUGCCCAAUCGUGGGGGAGUAACGCAGCGAAAGCUGUGCCUAAUACCGCAUACGAUCUAACGGAUAGAAAGCGGGGACCUUCGGGCCUCGCGCGAUUGGAGCGGCCGAUGUUAGAUUAGGUAGUUGGUGGGUAAAGGCUCACCAAGCCGACGAUCUAUAGCUGGUCUGAGAGGACGACCAGCCACACUGGAACUGAGACACGGUCCAGACUCC
rnacentral:rRNA from 1 species